ACACAAAGUCAUACAAGGUCACAGACAGACACAAAGUCAUACAAGGUCACAGACAGACACAGAGAUAUACAAGGCCACAGACAGACACAACGAUAUACAAGGUCAUAGACAGACACAACGGUCUACAAGGUCACAGACAGACACAAAGAUAUACAAGGUCACAGACAGACGCAAAGAUAAACAAUGUCACAGACACAAAGAUAUACAAGGUCACAGACAGGCACAACGAUAUACAAGGUCACAGACAUACACAAAUAUAUACAAGAUCACAGACACAAAGAUAUACAAGGUCACAGACAGACACAAAGAUAUACAAGGUCACAGACAGACACAAAGAUAUACAAGGUCACAUAAAGACAUACAAGGUCACAGACAGACACAAAGAUAUACAAGAUCACAGACAAAGUCAUACAAGGUCACAGAUAGACAAACACAGACAGGCACAACGAUAUACAAGGUCACAAACAGACACAAAAAUAUAUAAAUCCACGGAACAGAUGAGUCGGUAAAUAUGUUGAAUUAAGCAAAGUUUUUACGCGUUAGGUUCGUGCUAUAUGCAUUUUUUCCUACGAAAAUGAGCCCAGCCGGUUUACAAUCACGGGGAAGUUAUUUCGAGUAGUUUGCGGAUGUUUUUAGGCGGUGGACGAUAAUUUUUUAUUUUGAUACUAAUGUUUCUGUGAUUUCUGACCAUUUUUUCUCUAUUCACACUUCAACGUGGCAGUCGAACAUGCUGUACGAUCAUUCAAUUAACUAUCAUCAAAAGGAGACAACCGUAACAUCCAUUACUUUUCAAAUCGUCCAACCAUUUCUUGAACAUUCAAAAGAAGUUUGUGAGGACAACUUACUUCAUAUCGAACACGUUAAAUUCUUGAUUGUCUCUCGUGCUAGGUACUUUUUUUGUGAUGGAGAUUUAAAGUGUGGGCCAUUUGCUGGUGUAGACUAACGUAACAACACCGUCAUAUGUACCCUUCGACAGUGGAUGUUCGCGAAUAAAUCACUUCACUACUAUUUGACGUAAGGUGGCGCCACAUGCAUGUAGUUCCGUAUCUUAGCGACAAUAGGAUAAAAUACAUAUUAAGGAUUGUGGUCAGUGUAAAUGUAAAUAAAAUCAUAAGUACUCUGAGAU